CAGGAAUUCUUUGAUUGGGCUGUGGUGUGUGUGUGUGUAUGAAUUGGGGGUGUCAGAGGUUACAGGGAGUGGGGUAAAUCCCAGACGCAUUGUGAAGUCACAUUUGUCUUCGGGACCCCCAACUCUCUGGUCUGCAGUUUACUUUCCCUUUCAGUGCCUUCUCUUCCUCUCUCCAGGAGCCUUGGAUUUGACUGCUGUAUGUCCACCAUCUCAUGGUGCAGCAUACAUAGAAAAUGACAAAUGAGAAUUUCAAAUGGGGGGUUUGACUGCCCUUGUGUCUGCUGCCCAGCUGCCUGGGGGCUGAGGAGGCUCAGGAUCGUGCACGCCUAUAACGGAAGCCCUGUACCAGACCGUGAGCACCGUGAGACCAUGGGGCCAUGUAUCUCUGUGCCUGGCACAGUUGUUGACUGGAUAAAUCACUAGAUUCACUCCUGGUGCAAAGGCAGCUCCGGCCAGAUAAGGGGUGUCACUGUGAUUUCUCAGCCUUGGCUGUUGUGGCUGUGUGGUUGUUCAACUCCCAGCCCUGAGUGUCUGUGUACGGGCUUCCCUGGAUUUUCUCAGAAAUCCAAAUGGUUGGCGCAAGGAUUCAGACAGACUUUGGAAACUGAGCUGCUGAGAGUUGAGAGCCCAGCUGGGUCUCACUCUGGGGGAAGCCAGCAGCCAGGAUGUAAGGACACUCAGGAAGCCCUAUGGAGAAACCCACAUGGUGAGGAACUGAGGCUUUCCAUCAACAGCCAUGUGAGUGAGCCAUCUUGCAAGUGGACCCUCCAGCCUCGGCCAGGCCUUUAGAUGACUUCUGCCCUGGCCAACAACCUGAUAGCAACCUCAUUUUAACGGCUAAGUUCUCCUGGAUUCCUGACCCCACAACCUGGAAGAUAAUACUCGUUUAUUGUUUUAAGCUGCCAAGUUUUGGGGUUACUUGCUCUACAGCAAUUAAUAACCAAUACAGCCCUCAGGAGUUGAGGAGUGUUGAGGAGUGUAGACUUUAAUUUAUAAUCCUCACCCCAUGCCUACAUGGAGUACCUGGUUGAUAAAUGGGUCCUAAAAUGAAUUAUAGAUGAUAGGGGGCCAUUGGAGGUUUUUGAGCAGGUGGACAACAUGAUGACAGUAAUCUUUUAGAAAAAUUAAUGCAGAGUGGGUGGGCACGGUGAUUUGGGGGUGGAGGACACUUGUGGUAGGGAGGCAAUUCAGUCUGUUGAAGUGGCUUUUGAAUGUAAUGGUUUGGCUCCAGCAUAGGUUCAGGGUAAUGAGAAGGAACAGAGCAAAUAUAAGUUCCAUGAGAGCUAAGCCCUUGCUUGUCUUUCUUCACCGCUGGAGCCACAGAGCCCUGCACAGUGCCUGGCACAUACUAGGCACUCAAUAAUACCUAUUGAAUGAGUGACUGAAUAUAUGAGUAGGUGGGUGAGUGAAUAAAAAAGAUAGAAGUGUGGUGGCCCAGAAAACUUUGUUUCUACUUUUUUUUAGAAAUGAAAACCCUCCGAAGAUUCUAUAGGUAAUGUCUGGAAUAGAUUUCUGUGACCUCAAACUCCAUUUUCUAUUUCUGUAAUCCUGAUUGGGGCCAGCCUGUUUUCAAAGCCCAUUCUCAUUCUGAAGUUGAUUUUAAAGCACUCCUUUUCUUUUCACAUCAUUCAUGCCACAAACAUUUAUUG
rnacentral:lncRNA from 1 species